UACGUAGGGUGCAAGCGUUGUCCGGAAUUAUUGGGCGUAAAGAGCUCGUAGGCGGUCUGUCGCGUCUGCUGUGAAAACUCAGGGCUUAACCCUGAGCUUGCAGUGGGUACGGGCAGACUAGAGUGCGGUAGGGGAGACUGGAAUUCCUGGUGUAGCGGUGAAAUGCGCAGAUAUCAGGAGGAACACCGGUGGCGAAGGCGGGUCUCUGGGCCGAUACUGACGCUGAGACGCGAAAGCGUGGGGAGCGAACAGG
rnacentral:rRNA from 1 species